CUGCGGCGCGGGCCUCCCAACUUAAAUCCCCUCUAUCUUCUACCCACUUCCUCACCGCCCGCAACGGCCACCGAGAGAGAGAGAGAGAGAGAGCGCCAUGGAGGAACCCGAUUCCGAUAAUGCCCCAGCCAUGGCGUCUUCCCACAAUACCCCUUCCCCUUCCCCUCUUCCGGCUGAGGAUUCCGAAAUUACCCCUCCCGUCGACGGCCCCCGGACCACCGCUCCCUUGCCCGGAAGCGGUGGCGGCGACACCCCUCCCCAGGGCGCGGGCGCGGCCUCCGGUCGCAAGCGGCGCCGCCGCGACAAGCAGUUCCCCGAGAUGAUCCCCACCGCCUGCCUCCGUGUCCUCCGGCCCACGACCGCUCGCUCCGCAUCCGUCGUCUACAGUGAGAAGCUCAUCGACGAGCUGAUCCAGAUGCAGGUCAACGACGCCGCCCCACGGCGCCGCGGCCGCGGCCGCCCUCCCUCGUCCUCCCUCCGCCUCGCCCGCGAGCUCGACGUCGAGGCCCUCAUCGCCAUGGCCGUCGGGUUUCCGGUCGAUUCCCUGACUGAGGAGGAGAUAGAAGCCAACGUGGUCCCCGUCCUGGGUGGCGUCGCCCAGUCCAACUAUAUCGUCGUCCGGAACCACAUCCUCGCCCGAUGGCGCUCCAACGCCUCGGUGUGGAUCACCGAGGCCCACGCCAUGGAGUCCAUCCGGUCCGAGCACCGCGCCCUUGUCUCCGCUGCCUACGCCUUCCUCCUCGAUCACGGCUUCAUCAACUUCGGUCUCGCCCCAGCCAUCAUUACGGCCCCUCCGCGCCACCCGCCGUCCCUUCCUGCCCCCUCCGUCCUGGUCGUCGGCGCGGGCCUCGCUGGCCUGGCUGCCGCUCGUCACCUUCUCUCUCUUGGCUUCAAGGUCGCCAUCUUGGAGGGCCGCCGCCGCCCAGGCGGCCGUGUUUUUACCAAAAAGAUGGAAUCUUGCGCCUCGUCGACCACUCCCGCCGUAGUUGCAACUGCUGACCUCGGCGGCAGCGUGCUCACCGGUAUCAAUGGCAACCCUCUUGGCGUUCUCGCUCGCCAGCUUGGCUUUCCCCUCCACAAGAUUCGGGACUUGUGCCCUCUCUACCUCCCUGACGGCCGGCCAGUGGACCGCGUCAUCGAUGCGCGUCUCGAGGCAGCCUUCAACCAGCUCCUCGACAAGGUCUGCAAGUUCCGCCAGGCUGUCACCGAUGAGCUCAAGUCCGUGGACCUCUCUCUUGGGACUGCCCUCGAGGCCUUCCGCAAAGCUUACGGCUUUGCUGACUCCUCGGAGGAAAGGAUGCUGCUUGACUGGCACCUUGCCAACCUCGAGUAUGCCAAUGCUGCCCUCCUCGCGGACCUCUCCAUGGUGUAUUGGGACCAGGAUGACCCGUAUGAAAUGGGUGGCGAUCACUGCUUCAUUCCUGGUGGCAAUGCACGCUUCGUUCGGGCCCUCGCAGAGAACAUUCCCAUCUUCUAUGGAAGGAGAGUCACCCGAAUUCAGUAUGGAUGUGACGGGGUGAUGGUGUAUGCCGAUGGACAAGUUUUUCGUGGCGACAUGGCACUAUGCACUGUACCACUUGGUGUGCUCAAGAAGGGCUGUAUCGAGUUUGUGCCUGAAUUACCCAAGGAGAAGCGGGAGGCAAUCAAAAGAUUGGGUUUUGGAUUGCUUAACAAGGUUCUGAUGUUGUUUCCCCAUGAUUUUUGGGGUGGUGGGAUUGACACUUUUGGGCACCUGACGGAGGAUCCAAGCAAUCGUGGUGAAUUCUUUCUGUUCUAUAGUUAUUCCUCAGUCUCCGGUGGACCACUUCUCGUCGCUCUCGUUGCAGGGGAGGCUGCAAUUAAGUUUGAGACCACGUCUCCAAUUAAGCAUGUUGAAAGGGUACUGGAAGUUCUGAAAGGUAUCUUUGCUCCUAAGGGAAUUGAGGUCCCCGAGCCCCUUCAGGUGAUUUGCACCAGAUGGGGGUCAGAUAGGUUUACAUAUGGAUCGUAUUCUUAUGUCGCUGUUGGUUCUUCUGGCGAUGACUAUGACAUUUUAGCUGAGAGUGUGGGGGAUGGGAGGGUCUUCUUUGCUGGUGAGGCAACAAACAGGCGGUACCCGGCAACAAUGCACGGAGCUUUGCUCAGUGGUUUCAGGGAAGCAACCAACAUGGCCAGGGCCACAAGGAGGAGGUCCACGAUGCCAGUAGGAGAAGGUAGAUGUUAGGGAGGAUACUUCGUAUUUGGAUUACCUCUUUUGUAUUCCAGACCCUCUCUCUUGCUAGUUUUUCAGUUCUUUGUGAUCCAUGUUAUUCAGGGCCUGACUCUACUUCUUUGUUGUGGGUGGGGACUGGUGAAAAAAAUGGCUUCUGUCUCUCUUUUCCUUUGUAGUUUGAUUCCAAAGAAAAAUGAUUUGGACUCGGCUGAAAUUGAUGGAGAUGACAAUGGACUGACCAUGUUAAAUCAUAGCUUUGGCACAAAACUAGUAGGGCGGAAUCACUUGUGCAGUGUUGGAGAUUUUUUGUUAGCCAACAUUAGAGUUGCAAGAGCAGCUAUCUUGAACACUUGAUCUGGGUUGAUCCGGGGAAGAGGAACAUCGUGCUCAAGAAGUUGUUUGGAUGGGGCAGAAGAACAGAUUUGGUCAUUAAUUCAAAUAAUCUCAGUCAACUAGCAGAGCAGUGCAUAAGUCUACAAACUGAAGCAUGGGAACUGCAUUCAAUUAUUUUUAUGCCUAAACUUGGGUUUGGUGACACUCCGCGAUACUGCCCCUAUCUUUGGAUCUCCCAAAUCUGAGCUUGAAAGUACCACCACAAAUCAGCACCUCUUACUUUGUCACAAGUCUUUCUUCAAGGAAGAACAAUAACUCAACAAUUUCCAGAGUGCAGCUUAGAAUCAGACAUUAUAUAUACAUAAUGGUUAUGCAACCAAUACUUACUGGAGAAGAAUUAGAAAAGUUUGAAUCAGUAAUGCUUCAUCCCCAUGGGGUAUGUGAUUGAUUGCCAUAUCAAAAUUCUUCAGAGAUAAGAAAGCUGUGACAUUGCCAUGAAGCAUAUGGGACAAGGUUAUCAUACUGUGGGCAAAUUCUCUUCUUUGUUAAGAAGAUUCUUUUAGCAAAAAUAGAUCUUUCUUCUUGUACAUGUGGUCUGUAAUACUCUUCUGCAAACAGUGAUUUCUUAUUAUUCAUAAUAUUUUGUCA